GCCUUCGUGGUGUAAUGGUUAGCACACUGAGCCGGUAUGUCAGAGGUCCGUGGUUCGAUCCCCGGCGAAGGCA
rfam:Stegodyphus mimosarum contig80602, whole genome shotgun sequence.